rnacentral:rRNA from 1 species
AUUGAACGCUGGCGGCAGGCUUAACACAUGCAAGUCGAGCGGGGGAAGGUAGCUUGCUACCGGACCUAGCGGCGGACGGGUGAGUAAUGCUUAGGAAUCUGCCUAUUAGUGGGGGACAACAUCUCGAAAGGGAUGCUAAUACCGCAUACGUCCUACGGGAGAAAGCAGGGGAUCUUCGGACCUUGCGCUAAUAGAUGAGCCUAAGUCGGGUUAGCUAGUUGGUGGGGUAAAGGCCUACCAAGGCGACGAUCUGUAGCGGGUCUGAGAGGAUGAUCCGCCACAAUGGGACGGAGACACGGCCCAGACUCCGACGGGAGGCAGCAGUGGGGAAUAUUGGACAAUGGGGGGAACCCUGAUCCAGCCAUGCCGCGUGUGUGAAGAGGGCCUUAUGGUUGUAAAGCACUUUAAGCGAGGAGGAGGCUACUUUAGUUAAUACCUAGAGAUAGCGGACGUUACUCGCAGAAUAAGCACCGGCUAACUCUGUGCCAGCCGCCGCCGUAACAC